ACGCUGGCGGCGUGCUUAACACAUGCAAGUCGAACGCUGAAGCCUAGCUUGCUGGGUGGAUGAGUGGCGAACGGGUGAGUAACACGUGAGUAACCUGCCCCCUUCUUUGGGAUAACGCCCGGAGACGGGUGCUAAUACUGGAUAUUCACUGAUCUUCGCAUGGGGGUUGGUGGAAAGGUUUUUUCUGGUGGGGGAUGGGCUCGCGGCCUAUCAGCUUGUUGGUGGGGUGAUGGCCUACCAAGGCUUUGACGGGUAGCCGGCCUGAGAGGGUGACCGGUCACAUUGGGACUGAGAUACGGCCCAGACUCCUACGGGAGGCAGCAGUGGGGAAUAUUGCACAAUGGGCGAAAGCCUGAUGCAGCGACGCCGCGUGAGGGAUGGAGGCCUUCGGGUUGUAAACCUCUUUCGCUCAUGGUCAAGCCGCAACACAUGGUUGUGGUGAGGGUAGUGGGUAAAGAAGCGCCGGCUAACUACGUGCCAGCAGCCGCGGUAAUACGUAGGGCGCGAGCGUUGUCCGGAAUUAUUGGGCGUAAAGGGCUUGUAGGCGGUUGGUCGCGUCUGCCGUGAAAUCCUCUGGCUUAACUGGGGGCGUGCGGUGGGUACGGGCUGACUUGAGUGCGGUAGGGGAGACUGGAACUCCUGGUGUAGCGGUGGAAUGCGCAGAUAUCAGGAAGAACACCGGUGGCGAAGGCGGGUCUCUGGGCCGUUACUGACGCUGAGGAGCGAAAGCGUGGGGAGCGAACAGGAUUAGAUACCCUGGUAGUCCACGCUGUAAACGUUGGGCACUAGGUGUGGGGGCCACCCGUGGUUUCUGCGCCGUAGCUAACGCUUUAAGUGCCCCGCCUGGGGAGUACGGCCGCAAGGCUAAAACUCAAAGGAAUUGACG
rnacentral:rRNA from 1 species